AAAAUAUUGCCUUUAAUUAUAUUGUUGAUCUAUUAUUACACUUCGAGGAUGCUGAGGAUGUUUGCAAAAUAUUUGGGGGUUUUUAAGUGAUUAAUUAUCUGAUUUCAAGUCGUGCAAGGUUGGUUAAUCACAGAGAAAUUACGCGUGCGAUUUCUGCCGUUGAACUUGAAACUCCUGUACUCUUUACAUAAACAAGUCUUAAAAUUUUCAAAUCACGCCCUGGUUACAGGUGCGCGCUCUUUUUCUCUCUUACCUGCUCCAUCACAUUCUGGCGCUCUUUGCAUUUGGUUAUCGCAAUCUCUCUUCCAUUUUCUUUCUGUUUUCGCAGUUCGAAUGGACAAAGAAGAUCAUGUGUUUGUCAGACUACAGAGUGCUGCCAAUGACUACAUCAACUCAAUUUGGUGAGUUGGUAAGCAUGUGAGCAUUAUCAAAAGAACUUCACUAGCUUUUGCAGCACUCCCACCCGGAAGCCUCAUUUGUUGCUUGUCAGCCAAGCAUAUUAAAAGUGAAGACAAACUUGUUCUUUUAUCUAGCCUUUGAAACAUGCACAAACCCAGAAAGAAAAAGAAGAAUAUGCAUCUUCAAAGAGUAAUUUGAGUGAUAAAAAAAAAUACUUUAUGUAUAAGAGAACAUGGGUUUAAGUCUUUUUUGAUGACAUAUCAAGAUUAAACUCUUAACUUAUUUCGUUCAGUGAAUAUGGAACUAAUCAUUGGACUCGAUGUUUGAUUUGCUCGGUAUGAGCAGCUUGGCCCCAUUACAAUAAGUAAAAUAAAAUGCAUGGUGACUGUUUUUAGUCA